ensembl:lncRNA
CUUAGCACCCAAAUAUGUUCUUCAUAAAGUUCUCGUUAGAAACGUGAGACCUGUUAAUUUUGACCUCUCAUCCCCUUCAUUUUCAACCACCUCCACCCCUUUGUUCUCCCUUCUCCCCUCUGCUCUGUGCUUCCUCAGAUGAAGUCACGAGGGCCCUGUUGAUUUUCCCAUCAACAUUCUCCUUUCUGCCCUGUCGCAUCAUAAAUAGACUCCUCCGCUCCUUGCCCUUGUCUGAGGAGACCACUUCCUGUCGAAUUGCUCUUUCUCCUGUUUCCCUUGGCUUGCAUAUCCCAAGGCCAUGAGGAAUUGACCACCUCCCCUAGCUCUGCAGUUCUGCUUCCAGAUCACCAUAGACGUGCUCACAUAAAUGUAACCUAGGGGCUGCAAUGUGUCUGCAAGUUGAGCCCUUUACCUCCAUGGUUCUCUGUCUCCACUCUACUUUAGCCACCAAAUGCAGCUGCUCCACCUUGGAUCUCAUUAUCCCUUGGAAAUAUUCCACCUGUGAGAGGGUCCAAAUGCCUCUCUGACCAUAAUCCAGUCUUUCCUAGACCUUCCAGCUCUCUCAUUAAACAUUCAACAAAAAUUUAAUUAGCAUGUACUACACGUAGUAGGAUGUCACUGGGAUACAGUGAUGAACCAAAUAGACGUGGUCUCCUCAUCUAGAGCCUACAUCUCCUGCAGGAGAACAACAAUCAAAUAAUGACUUAAUUAACUGUUAAUUAAUCUGAAGCAAAUGCUGUGAAGGAAAGCACCACUGCUCAUCCUAUCCUGACCACUAAUCCUUGUCUCCUCCACAUCCUCUAGGCACAGUGAGCCCCUUCUUAUCAUCCUUUCUUUUUCCUUCCAGCCCAGACUCUAAAGUACAUAAUUUCAACCACUCUUACCAGCUCUCUCAAUGUCCUAGCCCUUUUUCUUUGGCAGACCAACAAACACAGAGUAAAUUCAGCUUUACAUCUUCCUUCCUUUAAACCAGGGUCCGGAGUAAGGCUGAUAAAUCACAAAUCAGCAUGACUCGGUGCCUUUAAGACAUCCAACCCCAACUGCACCCUCAAGACUGCUCAGUAGUGCUCAUGCACAUGUUCCUUAUCUCCACAGUUGGUAUUUCAGCCUCAACACAGCCUCCGCAUGCUCUUACACCCUUUCCCCUGGACAUGUCUUGGUGUCUUACUCCACAAAGAAAACAUGAACAUGAACUCUCACACCCUUCUGCUCUCUACCCACCCACAUGCAUACAUUAUAUUCAUUCUUAUCUCCUUCUCCCCAUCUCUCUUAAUAGGGAGUCCCUCCUUCUCUCAGAGGCUAACUUUUCCCCUCCUUUCUGGUCUUCCUGUUAUUUUUAGCCCCUUCUCAAUCUCUUGCAUGGAUUUUUCUUUUCACCUCUGUCUAUCCUUUGAAUAUAAAUGUCCCAAGUUAUUUCCCCUGCGACCUAGGUACUUUUCUUACUCUUCCUAGUCAGCUUGAGUGAUUUCCAUCACAACCAGGUCUUCAUUUGUUACCUAUGUGCUCAUUAUGCUAAAAUCUCUCUCUCUUUCUUUCUCGAGAAACCUUUCUCCUGACCACCAGAUGUAUUCCUCCGCCUGGAUGUCCUUAGGCAGAUCAGUCACACUCAUCUCUUCAGGACUGGACCCACCGUCUUCCUCAACAUGCGUAAAUAUGCUCCAGUGUUCCCAUGCUGGAAUUGCAACACUGCAUGCAGCUGCCCAAACGGCAGUAAGAGCCUUGGUGCAGGGGCUUUCUUUUCCCUGCUUCCCAAGCACUGUUGAUUAUUUUUCUUAAAUAUAUUCACCCCUGCCCUCUAACGAACCCCCAACCCCCAGUCCUACUCCAAUAAGGCAAUGGCCUUAUUUCAAGCCUUCCUACCUUCUUUCUCUCUCCCUCUACACCAGCCUCCAAAACAGGUCCAGAAAGAUCUUUCUGUCCGCAAAUCAGAUAAUGUUGCUUUCAUCACCAGAAUUUGCCACUGGCUCCCCACUGGCUCUAGGACAUAGCCUUAAGUCCUUCCACGGUGCCCAGGGCCUUCCUAGAGGUCCCUGCUGGGCUGCUCUUAAUGUCUCUAGCUGUGCUCCAGCAACACUGACCUGGUCAUCACGCUCUCUGCUGAGGACAUCCCUCCUCUCUCUGUCCCUCUAGCAAAUGCUUUCUCUUCCAUAAAGACUCAGCUCAGAUGUGCCCUCUGAGAGGCCCCGAGGAGAUGCUUGGCAUGCCUCUCCCACUGCCCUUCAGUCAUACCUUCAAUAUAGUGAUUAUCUUGUGGUGUUCAUUGUUUGUUUGCAAGUCUAACAGUAAACUCCUUCAGAGCAGAUUACCACCUCUGUUCCCAUUUAUAUCCCAAGUGUCUGAUGCAGUGCCUGGUACCUAGCUAAUGCUCAGGAGAUAUUGGCUGGGAUUAUCUUGAUCCUCAAAACCCUUGGUUGCUGUUCCCUUUUUAUCUGUUGCAGAUACAGCUUCCAUGUCAGGGUCGCAGAGGGGCUGUCCCAUGUCACAGAUCUCUGUCUCCCCCUUCUCUUUUCUCUUCUAUCACUUAGGUUUCUUUCCUCCAAUCUCCUCUUUGAGAGAAAACUCUCGUCUCUCAUGCCAUAUCUUGAAUUUUUCUUUGUUCUGUAUCCUCUUGAGACCCAGCCUGUCCUGUGAAAAUGGACUCAGACCCUCUGGCCAGGCCCCAGCUCUUGUGGCAGGUCAGAAGUGGAACCUGGCACCAUCAUUAUGCACAUUUCCUGGCCUGGCUUUGCCAUCCUUGCUGGCUUCAUCUCAGCUAAUGGGCUUUUGUUUGUUGAUGCCAACUCUUGUGCUAUUUCCUUUUCUAGUCUUGGUUUCAAGUUCCUUCUUCAGACAUUUAGUUACCAGGAAGAAAAGGAGGGAGGGACAUAUUUCUGUGAAGAACUAAAUUAUUAUAAAAUCGUGGUGUCCUUCCUGUCAGUGGUGUGGCACCCACAGGAAGGCAGAUGAGGUGUUCCUCUGGCUCAUUCCUGCUUCCACCCUCACACCCUGACCUUCUCUUGAGAGGUCAGUUUCCUCCUACAUGCCCUCCUGCCCAAGUUUUCACCAGCCUCUUGCUUUUUACCUCCCUCAGUUGGUGGCAAAUUUUCCAGUCCCCAAAUUGGAAAGCUUGACAAAGGCGAUUUUCUUAUUUAAAGUGAUGUGAAGACACAGAGAGGAUGACAUGUGACAGCGUGUUGGAGGCGGAGAUUGGAGCCAUGCAGCUGCAAGCCAGCAACACCAAGACCUGCUAGCAACACCAGAAGCUGAGAGAAGGGCAUGGAACAGAGGCAGCAUGGUCCUGCUGACCCCUUGAUUCUGGACUUCUGCCCUCCAGAACUAGGAGAGAAUAAAUUUCUGUUGUCCUACCCUAUUUGUGGUAAUUCAUUACGGCAGUCCUAAAAAACUAACAUGGGUAGGAAGCUAAUAUAUGUAUAGCUUUGCAUAUAUAUUUAUGCUUAUAUUUUAUGCAAAAAGAAAAAAAAGACUCCCAGAAUCUACAAUGUGAGACACACAAGAAAUUGAUAUUUGAUGAGCAGG